CGCCGGGAGCGGGGCCGCGCGGGCCUCACGGCGUUGUGCGGCCCCCUCAGCGUGUGCGGAGCGCUCUGUGCCGCGCAGCAGGGUGGCGGUUUGUAACUCGGAUCGAACGUGACGGGCCACACGCUGUUGUUAACCCACCCAAGCCACGAGCAUGACAGCGUUCUGAACAUUUCUGUGGAUGGUACUGUGGAGAAAGUUUCCCAACUAUAUCCUUUACAUUUGGUUACUUUCUGUUUGAGCUGAUAAUGACCAAGAGCACCAAGCAAAAAUGCAGAUGAUGCAUUGAAUAAUCCAGUGGUCCCCUAGAAAACGAGCUCCAUGAAAUCAACCUGACAUUGAAGACAAAGGAGAAGAUCCAUUUCAUUUAAUAAGCAGGCUGUGGAAUGACCCAACACUUUAUUACAGCCUCCUUUGUGAGCAAAUAGAGCCUCUGCUGUGCUGCUCUAUGUAAUGCCUAGAGAGUCUGCAAGAGCAGAGGCCAGAAAAAGGAGGCUCGAGGGAGUGAAUUAUGUAUUUAUUUCCUUUAUGUCUGGAAAAAGAAACCAACAAAAGGAAAGACUUUCUUCUAAUCAAGAAAGAAGGAAGAAGGAAGAAGGCGGAACAAGUACUUCCGUGAUGGGCACUUCACAUUAGAUACUUAAUAUUUUUCUAGAAAAUGACACCAAAAUCCCUGAUAUACCCAAGGUGAUGUUUAUGCCACCUUUUCCGUGAGAGGGAAACAAUCAGGGGCAGCAAGAUUUGCUUGUGCACGUUGUUGUUAUCGAUGACAAUAUGUAAAGGACAAAAUAGCUUUUCAUACUGAGCCAAUUGGAGGAAGCAAGAAUAGGAAGAAAUUGAAUCAGAAAUAACUGAAAAGCCUGAGGGUGAGGAAGAAUGCUUUGAGACAGAAGCUAAAACUGCCAGAAAUUAUCACCUAUGGCAAACAACAGCAAGCAGAUGCACAUGCCAAUUUUCAGCAGUUAGCUACCUAUAAAUACAGUACAGGGCUGAGUUUUCCCCUGAAGAUCUUAUACUGGCAAAACUGCUCCUUAUUGCACCAGAGAGAAUUGUCUGAAAAGGGAAUGCAUAUUCAGCCUCAUGGGUUACAAGACUAGAUGGAUGACAUUCAUCCUUUGCAGACACCCAGUGCAUGUCCUACACACAGUUUAAGGCUGAUUAUGCUCUCCUGUUUUCUGCUGGGAGGUAAAGUCUGCUAUUCUCUGAGCGUGCUGAUACCACAGUGCCAGCUGCCAAACGCCUGCUGAUUCCCAUCCCUGAUGAGUUUCUGAGAAAAACUGGGACAAAGAAGCAAAUUUCAGCAAGAUAUGAGUUUAAAAAGAUCCAAUUCGUGAUUAUUAUCUAUCAAUGGUUGCAGUUCAUUGAAUCAACUGUACAGAACCCAGGACAUCUAAAAGCCAUUAGGAAACAGCAAUUUCACAGAUAAAAGAAAUAAAAGAAACUACAAACCUGCUAGAAGAUUCCCCUUGUUCUUUUCUUCAGGCUCCUACAUGAUAUUGAUCUGAUUUGUUAGUUGAAAUUUUUAAUGAGAAGACUUGAGAGGACUUAAGACAACGAACCAAGAAGAGACAGACAAAUACUAGUUCUCUAUAAGCUUGAACACACAUCAAAAACAGCACCAGCUGCCAUAUUUGUACCUACUUUGUAGGGCUGCAGGUAUGCAAGGCCUUCAAAUGAGGCUUCCAGGUAGCAAUGGAAACUGAUUUCUCAUCAGCAGCAUAACUACGCCAUACACACUACGUGCAGGA